CUUUUCUUGUAUUGCUUAUGAAGUAUAACCUGCUCACUGUUUAUAAAUUAAGGGCUGCGGUAUUUUUGACCGUACAAAGGUAGCAUAAUCAUUAGUCUUUUAAUUGGAGGCUGGAAUGAAAGGUUGGACGAGAUAUAUUCUUUAUUAUAAUUAUUUUAUCUGAAUUUAAUUAUUAAGUUAAAAAGCUUAAAUUUUUUUAUGGGACGAGAAGACCCUAUAGAGCUUUAUAGCAAUUUAUAUGUAUUAUGUAGUUAAUUAUUUAUUAUUAAUUGUUAUUUUGUUGGGGUGAUUAGAAGAUAAAAUUAACUCUUUUUAUUGUUUUAUAUUAAUGUAUAAAUUUAUUGAUCCUUUUUUAUUGAUUAAAAGAAUAAGUUACCUUAGGGAUAACAGCGUAAUCCUUUUUGAGAGUACUUAUCGAUAGAAGGGGUUGCGA
rnacentral:rRNA from 1 species